CUCUUUCCCUCUCCCCACACCCCCAUGUCCCUGACGCUGCCGCCGCCCGCUGGCGCCCAUGACCCGGUGACCCCAGAGGGCCAUCAGGAGCCCGUGACCCCGGAGCACUGGGCAUCCGGACCCCCCUCGCAGGCGCAGCCGCUAUUAAGGCAGGAGGCUAAAGGGGAGGAGGAGGAAGGGGAGGAGACAGGCGUCCAGGGCGCCUGGGGAACCGCCACUGCCGAGCCGGGGUGGCGAGUCUGGGGGAAAGCCGCUGAGGCGGUCGCGGCCGAGGAGGGCCAGGUGGAGGCCCGGGGCGCCGCGGCGGCGGGGUCAGGCUCCCCGGCGGGAGGCGCGGGUGGCGGCCGCGGGAGCUGGCGGCGGCUCCUAGCCUGGCUGCGGCGGCCGCCCCAGUGCUGCCCCUGUGCGGCGCCCCUUCCUCGCUCCGCCGCGCACUGUUGUCAUGGAGGAACCAAGAUGGCGGCUCUGGCCUACAACCUGGGCAAGCGGGAGAUCAACCACUACUUCAGCGUGAGGAGCGCCAAGGUGCUGGCGCUGGUGGCCGUGCUGCUCCUCGCAGCGUGCCACCUCGCCUCCCGCCGCUACCGAGGCAAUGAUUCAUGUGAAUACCUUCUCUCAAGUGGCAGAUUUCUUGGAGAGAAAGUUUGGCAACCUCACAGUUGCAUGAUGCAUAAAUACAAAAUCAGUGAAGCAAAGAACUGUCUUGUAGAUAAACAUAUUGCAUUUAUUGGAGAUUCCAGAAUUCGUCAGUUGUUUUAUUCUUUUGUAAAAAUAAUUAAUCCCCAAUUCAAAGAAGAAGGAAAUAAGCAUGGAAACAUUCCUUUUGAAGACAAGAUUUCAUCAGUUAAAGUGGAUUUUCUAUGGCAUCCAGAAGUUAAUGGUUCUAUGAAACAGUGUAUCAAAGUAUGGACUGAGGAUUCUGUUGCAAAGCCCCAUGUGAUUGUAGCAGGAGCUGCCACAUGGUCUAUCAAGAUUCACAAUGGUAGCAACGAAGCUCUUUCCCAAUAUAAAAUGAACAUUACCUCCAUAGCACCACUUUUAGAAAAACUGGCAAAGACUAGUGAUGUUUAUUGGGUCUUACAAGAUCCUGUUUAUGAAGAUCUAUUAAGUGAAAAUAGGAAAAUGAUCACUAAUGAGAAGAUAGAUGCCUACAAUGAAGCUGCAGUCAGCAUUUUGAAUAGUAGCACCAGAAAUUCUAAAUCAAACGUUAAGAUGUUCAGUGUUUCUAAAUUAAUUGCUCAAGAAACCAUCACAGAGUCUUUGGAUGGCUUACAUCUUCCUGAAUCAAGCAGAGAAACUAGUGCAAUGAUUCUUAUGAACGUGUAUUGCAAUAAGAUUUUGAAGCCUGUAGAUGGUUCCUGUUGUCAACCUCGGCCUCCUCUUACCCUCAUACAGAAGCUAGCUGCUUGUUUUUUUACUUUAUCUAUUAUUGGAUAUUUAAUUUUUUAUAUAAUUCAUCGUAACACUCAUCGGAAGAAUAAGCCAUGUACUGAUUUGGAAAGUGGAGAGGAAAAGAAAAAUAUUAUCAAUACCUCUGUGUCUCCUUUAGAAGUACUUUUACAGUCUUUCUGCAAACUUGGCCUGAUAAUGGCUUAUUUCUAUAUGUGUGACCGUGCAAAUCUAUUUAUGAAGGAAAACAAAUUUUAUACACAUUCAACUUUCUUUAUUCCAAUUAUCUACAUCUUGGUUUUGGGAGUAUUUUACAAUGAAAAUACUAAGGAGACUAAAGUGUUAAAUAGAGAACAAACAGAUGAAUGGAAAGGCUGGAUGCAACUUGUGAUUCUGAUUUAUCAUAUCUCUGGAGCAAGUACAUUUUUACCUGUGUACAUGCACAUCCGGGUUCUGGUUGCUGCAUACCUAUUUCAGACAGGGUAUGGGCAUUUCUCAUACUUUUGGAUCAAAGGAGACUUUGGAAUUCAUAGAGUCUGUCAGGUCUUAUUUCGUCUCAAUUUCCUGGUAGUGGUGUUAUGUAUAGUAAUGGAUCGGCCUUAUCAAUUCUAUUACUUUGUCCCCUUGGUCACUGUAUGGUUCAUGGUCAUAUAUGUUACUUUAGCACUAUGGCCACAAAUAAUCCAAAAAAAAGCAAACGGAAAUUGUUUCUGGCAUUUUGGCUUACUGUUGAAACUAGCCUUCUUGCUGUUAUGUAUAUGUUUUUUGGCAUAUUCUCAGGGUGCAUUUGAGAAGAUCUUUUCUCUUUGGCCAUUGUCCAAGUGUUUUGAACUGAAAGGGAAUGUAUAUGAAUGGUGGUUCAGAUGGAGGUUAGACCGUUACGUAGUCUUUCAUGGAAUGUUGUUUGCUUUCAUUUAUCUGGCUUUACAGAAGCGUCAAGUACUUUCUGAAGGAAAGGGUGAACCUCUUUUUUCAAACAAAAUUUCAAAUUUUCUAUUGUUUAUUUCAGUAGUUUCUUUCUUGACCUAUUCCAUCUGGGCUAGCAGUUGUAAAAACAAAGCAGAGUGCAAUGAACUCCAUCCAUCUGUAUCUGUGGUGCAGAUUUUAGCCUUCAUCCUAAUAAGGAAUAUCCCUGGAUAUGCCCGUUCAGUUUAUAGUUCAUUUUUUGCUUGGUUUGGAAAAAUUUCAUUAGAGCUACCGCAGAUAGAUUAUUUCUUAUAAUCUCCAUUGCCAAAAUAACAAAGCUGGAAUUUAGCUUGAUGGACUUGAUUGUAAAUGAAAAAUGUAAAAAUAAUAAUGCUGUGAAAUUCAGAUGUAUAUGAAGUGAAAAAACUGCAUCAAAACAUUUAACAGAUGAGGAUACUGCUCUGAGGACCAGAUGCCAGGCCAAAGACUCAAGCUGUUGGUACACAUUUGCUCUAGGCACAGGGCAGUGACCACAUCUGUGGACACUUGCUUCUUACCACCCACCGUCAUGAUCCUGCUCUGAAACCAUCUAGGCCCAGUUCUCUGCACGGGAGAUGUGAACAGGGCAUGCGCACAACCGUCACAGCCUGCCCUGCUGUGGUGCACAAAUCCACGUCCACACUUUUGUCGUACAUGCUUUCCAUGGGCCGCUUUCUCUGAAGAGUUCUAAUAUUAUCCAAUGGGGUACAUGUCAAAAGAAACAGGCAUAUUAUUGGAACAAAAUUGCAAGGGUCCAUCACUUCCCGCAUGAAGCAUGUGUACGCUUCUUUUUUGGCAAGGUGCUUGCCUUGAAAAUACCAAUGGAGUUAUAAGGGGAGAUGAGAAAGAAGACACCAGAGGAUUGGUAAGCCUCUCUCUCAGCAUUCUGGUCAUCUUUAAAAUGCCAGGGGAGAUAUGUGGAGAUAACAGAAAUAGGAAUGUAUUCUGGCGCCAGCCCGUGUCCUCUACUUUCCUCUUUCAAGGUCAACUGCCUUACUAUAAUUCUUUUUCUGUGUUUGUUUUUGAAUAGGAAAUAAACUCUGAUGGUUCAAAAAUAAAAAAAAAUAUUAAAGGCAGAGAGUGAAAACUUUUGUUUUUCCUCCACAGUUCUUCAUCUACAUAAUUCUGGUGACAACUACUUGUAGCUUGUACUUAACUAGCUUUUCAUGUAUUCUUACAAAGUUCCUUUAUAUAGUACAAAGAAAUGGGUAGGGAAAUCCCUAUCAAUACAUAAUUUCCCCCGUUCUUUGUUACCAUAGUGUUAUAUGGCAUCAGUGUCCCAAUAUCAAUCCACAGCCCCUCACUGAUUCCCGUGUUGAUCCACCAUUCCCUUCUUAAUUAGUUCCAAACAAUUACUAUUACAAAUAAUACAGUGAAUUGCUUUACGUAUACGUCAUUUUCCACCAAUAUGAAUAUGUGUGUAAGUUCCCAGAUGAGGAAUUACUGGGCCAUAAGGUAUAUGCAUUUUUAACUUGGUAUUUCAGCACGGUUACUCUCCUUAGGGACCCCAGCAAUUUAUGUUCCUGACUAGCAAAGCAGUAGCGCUUAUCUCCUACAACCCCACACCCUCAACAGUGUAUCAACUUGCAUCCUGCCAUAUAUUUAAAAGCAAUUCAUACUUCCGUUUCUGAGAACACUCUGCUUAUACUGUCUGUCCAUUUAUCUGUUAUUGGUCUUUUUCUUAUCAACUCUGAAGAAUUCUUUACAUGUUUGGGAGAUUAGCCCUGUGUCUAUGAUAUAAGAUACACAUACUUUUUCUCAGUCUGUCUUUUGCUUUGUUUAUGGUGUUUGCUUUGUAGAAGUUUUCUAUACACAGAGAGAUUUUGUCAAUCUUUUCUUUUAUGACUUCUGGGUUUUGAAUAGUUUUUGCAUAGUUGAGAUUUCCUCACUCCAAAGUAAUAAAAGAAAUCACUUGUUUUUUUUUUUUUCCUAUACCUUAUGAUGUGAGGUAGGGAUCCAACUUAAUUCUGUUUCAAAUGACUACCUAUUGCCAAUACAAUUUAUUAAAGAGUCCACCUUUUCCAUCAUUGACUUUGCAUACAACCUAUAGCACAUACUAAAUUAAUUCAUUUGUAUGGGACAAUUUAUGUACUUUUUACUCUGAAUCAACAGCUUGUCAAGCAACAGCCUCUCACAGUUCUAAUUACAGAGGUUUUUCUCAUAUGUUAUAUUAUUU